rnacentral:tRNA from 1 species
AGGGGUGUAGCUCAGGGGUAGAGUGCUCGUCUGUGCUGCAUGAGGUACUGGGUUCAAAUUCCAGCACCACCA